GAAGCCGGAAUUGCUGUAAUGGCAGGUCAGCAUACUGCCGUGAAUACGUUCCCGGGCCUUGUACACACCGCCCGUCACACCAUGAGAGUUGGGAAUACCCGAAGCCUGUGAGCUAACAUUAUGAGGCAGCAGUCGAAGGUAGAAUCAAUGAUUGGGGUGAAGUCGUAACAAGGUAAC
rnacentral:rRNA from 1 species